rnacentral:antisense_RNA from 1 species
CUUCAACGAGCCCAGCAACACGGGGCGUUCGGAGGGCCGGUCCUGCCCGUACGUGGCGAGUAGCGCUUCCGCCUC